GUGCUCACUUCAGCAGCACAUAUACUAAAAUAGGAACAAUACAGAGAAGAUUAGCAUGGCCUCUGUGCAAGGAUGACAUGCAAACUUAUGAAGCAGUCUAUAUUUUU